UCUUGACCACAGAAUGGGACAUCAUUUCCUCUAUACUAACUUGUUUAGUUUAAAAAGGUAACUAGUCUAUUUGAUAAAUAAAUAUUAACCUGGUUUUCUUGAUUCAGUGUCGACCUUCGUAGCUGUUCUGGACAUGGUUACAGACAGACACAAUUUUUGAUUCUCAGGCGCAUUCGGCUCGCCAUCUUCUUCAGGCUAAAAGAGGUAUAAUGUAGCUAUGUAUGUGUUCAUGCAUACAAAGAAAGUGGGACUACUUUGGAAGCAGAGUUUAUAUGAACUUUCCCAAAAGAACUCAUGUAGAAGUGUUAGGGCAUUAUUUUGGAGAACAAAUUCUGGGGCUAAUGACUUUGGUCAACUAGGUAAUAGAACUGAGGAGUGAAGGAAACAUCUAAAGAAAGUAAAGCCAUUAGAGUCAGAGUUUGUAAAAUUUGUGUCUUGUAUAAUACUUAAUUCUCUUAGAAAUUCAUUUUUGUUAAUGUUUGUAAAUUUCAUGUACGCAGCUGUUGCAUGUAUACAGAUGACAUUGUUGUAGGCUUUUACCAAGUAUUGAAUGAAGGAACAUAAAUUUGAGU